rnacentral:rRNA from 1 species
UACGGAAGGCAGCAGUGGGGAAUAUUGCACAAUGGGCGCAAGCCUGAUGCAGCCAUGCCGCGUGUAUGAAGAAGGCCUUCGGGUUGUAAAGUACUUUCAGUCGUGAGGAAGGUGUUAAGGUUAAUAACCUUAGCAAUUGACGUUAGCGACAGAAGAAGCACCGGCUAACUCCGUGCCAGCAGCCGCGGUAAUACGGAGGGUGCGAGCGUUAAUCGGAAUUACUGGGCGUAAAGGGCACGCAGGCGGUUAAUUAAGUUGGAUGUGAAAUCCCCGGGCUUAACCUGGGAAUGGCAUUCAAGACUGGUUAGCUAGAGUCUUGUAGAGGGGGGUAGAAUUCCAUGUGUAGCGGUGAAAUGCGUAGAGAUGUGGAGGAAUACCGGUGGCGAAGGCGGCCCCUGGACAAAGGACUGACGCUCAUGUGCGAAAGCGUGGGGAGCAAACAGGGAUUAGAUACC